rfam:Ciona savignyi cont_55715, whole genome shotgun sequence.
CAAACGGCUCUUUUAUAGAGCCACCCAAUAUUUUAAAGAGAUUUAUA